rnacentral:rRNA from 1 species
AGGAAUUGACGGGGACCCGCACAAGUAGCGGAGCAUGUGGUUUAAUUCGAAGCAACGCGAAGAACCUUACCUAAGCUUGACAUCCCAAUGACAUCUCCUUAAGCGGAGAGUUCCCUUCGGGGACAUUGGUGACAGGUGGUGCAUGGUUGUCGUCAGCUCGUGUCGUGAGAUGUUGGGUUAAGUCCCGCAACGAGCGCAACCCUUG